rnacentral:rRNA from 1 species
AGUGAACGCUGGCGGUAGGCCUAACACAUGCAAGUCGAACGGCAGCACAGUAAGAGCUUGCUCUUACGGGUGGCGAGUGGCGGACGGGUGAGGAAUACAUCGGAAUCUACUUUUUCGUGGGGGAUAACGUAGGGAAACUUACGCUAAUACCGCAUACGACCUACGGGUGAAAGCAGGGGAUCUUCGGACCUUGCGCGAUUGAAUGAGCCGAUGUCGGAUUAGCUAGUUGGCGGGGUAAAGGCCCACCAAGGCGACGAUCCGUAGCUGGUCGGAGAGGAUGAUGACCCAAAGUGGACGUGGACAAGGGUCCAGACUCUUACGGGAGGAAGCAGUGGGGAAUAUUGGACAAUGGGCGAAAGCUUGCUCCACACAUACCGCGUGGGUGAAGAAGGCCUCGGGGUUGUAAAGCCCUUUUGUAGGGAAAGAAAAGCAGCAGGUUGAUACGCCGCUGUUCUGACGGUAACCAAAGAAAAAGCAACGGCUAACUUCGUG